rnacentral:rRNA from 1 species
UACACAUGCAGUCGAACGGUAACAUUGUACGUGCUUGCUCUUCGAUGACGAGUGGCGGACGGGUGAGUAAUGCUUGGGAACUUGCCUUUGCGAGGGGGAUAACAGUUGGAAACGACUGCUAAUACCGCAUAAUGUCUACGGACCAAACGGGGCUUAGGCUCCGGCGCAAAGAGAGGCCCAAGUGAGAUUAGCUAGUUGGUAAGGUAACGGCUUACCAAGGCGACGAUCUCUAGCUGUUCUGAGAGGAAGAUCAGCCACACUGGGACUGAAACACGGCCCAGACUCCUACGGGAGGCAGCAGUGGGGAAUAUUGCACAAUGGGGGAAACCCUGAUGCAGCCAUGCCGCGUGUGUGAAGAAGGCCUUCGGGUUGUAAAGCACUUUCAGUUGUGAGGAAAAGUUAGUAGUUAAUACCUGCUAGCCGUGACGUUAACAACAGAAGAAGCACCGGCUAACUCCGUGCCAGCAGCCGCGGUAAUACGGAGGGUGCGAGCGUUAAUCGGAAUUACUGGGCGUAAAGCGCACGCAGGCGGUUUGUUAAGCUAGAUGUGAAAGCCCCGGGCUCAACCUGGGAUGGUCAUUUAGAACUGGCAGACUAGAGUCUUGGAGAGGGGAGUGGAAUUCCAGGUGUAGCGGUGAAAUGCGUAGAUAUCUGGAGGAACAUCAGUGGCGAAGGCGACUCCCUGGCCAAAGACUGACGCUCAUGUGCGAAAGUGUGGGUAGCGAACAGGAUUAGAUACCCUGGUAGUCCACACCGUAAACGCUGUCUACUAGCUGUGUGUGUCUUUAAGACGUGCGUAGCGAAGCUAACGCGCUAAGUAGACCGCCUGGGGAGUACGGCGCAAGGUUAAAACUCAAAUGAAUUGACGGGGGCCCGCACAAGCGGUGGAGCAUGUGGUUUAAUUCGAUGCAACGCGAAGAACCUUACCUACACUUGACAUGCUGAGAAGUUACUAGAGAUAGUUUCGUGCUUUCGGGAACUCAGACACAGUGCUGCAUGCUGUCGUCAGCUC